rnacentral:rRNA from 1 species
GAGUUUGAUCAUGGCUCAGGAUGAACGCUAGCGGCAGGCUUAACACAUGCAAGUCGAGGGGUAUAGUUCUUCGGAAUUAGAGACCGGCGCACGGGUGCGUAACGCGUAUGCAAUCUACCUUUCACAGAGGGAUAGCCCAGAGAAAUUUGGAUUAAUACCUCAUAGUAUAACGACUCUGCAUGGAGAUGUUAUUAAAGUCACAACGGUGAAAGAUGAGCAUGCGUCCCAUUAGCUAGUUGGUAAGGUAACGGCUUACCAAGGCUACGAUGGGUAGGGGUCCUGAGAGGGAGAUCCCCCACACUGGUACUGAGACACGGACCAGACUCCUACGGGAGGCAGCAGUGAGGAAUAUUGGACAAUGGGCGCAAGCCUGAUCCAGCCAUGCCGCGUGCAGGAUGACGGUCCUAUGGAUUGUAAACUGCUUUUGCACAGGAAGAAACAACGCUACGUGUAGCGUCUUGACGGUACUGUGAGAAUAAGGAUCGGCUAACUCCGUGCCAGCAGUCGCGGUAAUACGGAGGAUCCAAGCGUUAUCCGGAAUCAUUGGGUUUUAAGG